rnacentral:rRNA from 1 species
GGAUUAGAUACCCUGGUAGUCCACGCCCUAAACGAUGUGCACUAGAUCGAGGAGGUUUUGACGCCAUCUCGGCCGAAGCAAAAGCGUUAAGUGCACCGCCUGGGGAGUACGGUCGCAAGGCUAAAACUCAAAGGAAUUGACGGGGGCUCACACAAGCGGUGGAGCAUGUGGCUUAAUUCGAAUCUACGCGAAGAACCUUAUCCAGGGUUUGACAUGCACAGAUUAUUGAUCCGAAAGGUGAUAAACACUCUUUGAGUGGAACGUGCACAGGUGCUGCAUGGCUGUCGUCAGCUCGUGUUG